rnacentral:misc_RNA from 1 species
UUUCCGUAGGCGAACCUGCGGAAGGAUCAUUAUUGGAUUUUGAAACUUCAGGCUGCUGCUGGCUCUCCUCGGAGGGCAUGUGCACGCUUGUUGUCCAUUAUUUCUCCCACAGUGCACAAAUUGUAGACCUUUCAGUAGGCCUAUGUUGUUUUUCACAAUCUCUGAAUGUAAUAGAAUGGUUUUGAAUCUUGGGAAAUACAAUACAACUUUCAGCAACGGAUCUCUUGGCUCUC